CCUACGGAAGGCUGCAGUGAGGAAUCUUGCUCAAUGGACGCAAGUCUGAACCAGCCAUGCCGCGUGCAUGAUGACGGCUCUAUGAUUUGUAAACUGCUUUUGUACGAGGGUACACCCCGAUACGUGUCUCGGGUUGAAAGUAUCGUACGAAUAAGGAUCGGCUAACCCCGCGCCAGCCGCCGCGGGAAUACGGAGGAUCCGAGCGUUACCCGGAUUUAUUGGGUUUAAAGGGUGCGUAGGCGGUUGGAUAAGUUAGAGGUGAAGUGACGGGGCUCAACCGCAGAACUGCCUCUAAUACUGUGGGACUAGAGAAUAGUUGCGGUAGGCGGAAUGUAUGGUGUAGCGGUGAAAUGCUUAGAGAU
rnacentral:rRNA from 1 species